rnacentral:rRNA from 1 species
AUUGAACGCUGGCGGCAGGCCUAACACAUGCAAGUCGAGCGGAGCGGCGGACGGGUGAGGAAUGCCUAGGAAUCUGCAUGGUAGUGGGGGAUAACGUCCGGAAACGGGCGCUAAUACCGCAUACUAUCAGAUGAGCCUAGGUCUGAUUAGCUAGUUGGUGGGGUAAAGGCCUACCAAGGCGACGAUCCGUAACUGGGCUGAGAGGAUGAUCAGUCACACUGGACUUUGGCCAAGGUCCCGACUCCUGCGGUAGGCAGCGGUGGGGACUAUUGGGCAAUGGCCGAAAGCCGGAUCCAGCCAUGCCGCGUGUGUGAAGAAGGUCUUCGGAUUGUACAGCACUUUAAGUUGGGAGGCGUUACCAACCGAGUAAGCACCGGCUAACUUCGUGCGAGCAGCCGCGGUAAUUC